rnacentral:rRNA from 1 species
GUGGGGAAUAUUGCGCAAUGGGGGAAACCCUGACGCAGCAACGCCGCGUGAGUGAGGAAGGACUUCGGUCUGUAAAGCUCUGUUAAUGUGGAAAAAUGGUAGCUGGUCUAAUAGGCCGAUUAUUUGAUGGUACACAUAGAGGAAGCACCGGCUAACUUCGUGCCAGCAGCCGCGGUAAUACGAAGGGUGCAAGCGUUGUUCGGAUUUAUUGGGCGUAAAGCGCGCGUAGGCGGACCUGCAAGUCAGAUGUGAAAUCUCGGGGCUCAACCCCGAAACUGCGUCUGAAGCUACAGGUCUAGAAUCUUGGAGGGGGAAGGGGAAUAUCGCAUGUAGGGGUAAAAUCCGUAGAUAUGCGAUGGAACACCAGAGGCGAAGGCGCCUUCCUGGACAAGUAUUGACGCUGAGGCGCGAAAGCGUGGGGAUCAAACAGGAUUAGAAACCCGUGUAGUCC